rnacentral:piRNA from 1 species
UGCAAUCAAUCGAUAAUUGGU